UGGAGAGUUUGAUCCUGGCUCAGGACGAACGCUGGCGGCGUGCUUAACACAUGCAAGUCGAACGAUGAAGCCGCUUCGGUGGUGGAUUAGUGGCGAACGGGUGAGUAACACGUGGGCAAUCUGCCCUUCACUCUGGGACAAGCCCUGGAAACGGGGUCUAAUACCGGAUAAUACUCUGUUCCGCAUGGAACGGGGUUGAAAGCUCCGGCGGUGAAGGAUGAGCCCGCGGCCUAUCAGCUUGUUGGUGGGGUAAUGGCCUACCAAGGCGACGACGGGUAGCCGGCCUGAGAGGGCGACCGGCCACACUGGGACUGAGACACGGCCCAGACUCCUACGGGAGGCAGCAGUGGGGAAUAUUGCACAAUGGGCGAAAGCCUGAUGCAGCGACGCCGCGUGAGGGAUGACGGCCUUCGGGUUGUAAACCUCUUUCAGCAGGGAAGAAGCGCAAGUGACGGUACCUGCAGAAGAAGCGCCGGCUAACUACGUGCCAGCAGCCGCGGUA
rnacentral:rRNA from 1 species